GUAAAGGAAAGCCUUAAAAAGUAACGUUUAUGAAAUAUUAGGACUGUAAAAGAUAUCAGAUAUGUUUAGAAAAAUCGACCAAGCAACUGCAGUAUCAUUUAAAAAUCACAGAUAUAAACAAGAUUGUGUUGUUUAAAAGGUAUAAAAUCAACCAAGAAUUUAAUAAUACACUUCAGGAAAACUAGUUUCCAUUUCUGCUUUUUUUCUACCAUCCUUUUCUUUUUAUAUUCAUGCAAUGCAAAGAAAAAGACGUCCAAUCAUAAGCUUGCUUCCUCCAUGUAAAUCCCUGAAUUUCUCUGUCAAAUGUUAUGCAUUAUUAUUUAGUUUUAAAAAACAGUCAAUAAGAAAGAUCUAGAUUUUAGUGUGUUUGGUAAAAGAAUCGGACUUUAUCGUAUUAAAACAUAGAUAUAUCCUUUACCAAUAGAUUCGUGGACCAUGUAUCGAGAUUCGUAUCGAUUUGUGAGAGAUGGAACGAUACACACCGAUAAAAAAUAUAAAAAUAGAAUAAAACAAAUAACAAAAAAAGGUAAAAAUGUUUAAAGGUUUAAAGUUCAUUGUAUUUUGUUUAUUUGGGAUAUCAUGACAAAAGAGAAUGUGUAAACUCAUGUUAAAUUGUUGUACAAGUUGAUGUACUUUUAUUUUGAAAGGGUACGUAUUUUCCGGCUGACAUGAUCCAUGUGACCAGCAACAGCCAAUCGGGUUGUUACAAGGACGAGAGCUUUAACGUAAGUUAGCGUAGCAUCCAUUUAUACAGAAGAUGGGACGUAAAUGAUCAGAGUUUGAUACACUUUUGGUUUUGUUUCAUUUUUAAACUUUGGUAAAGUUCAGUUUUUACUUUUCCACUUGUUUUCUCCUGAUAAAAAAAAGCAAAUUUCUUUUACCGAACGGAACUUGAUCCAUCAUGAUGAAACAAGAUGGCAGCCAACCCGAAUCCUUUGAAGUGAUCCUAGCUAAGGAGCCAGAGCCCUCUGCUGGACACUGGACAACUCUUUCUACUUGGAUCUGUUUAAGGCGUUCCCCACAGAGAUGGAACCACGUUUUUACUGAAACCCCGCCCACUUUUGGUCUGUAUUUAAGGACUGCCUCAACCAGCAGAAAAUCAUCUUCAUCUGCUUUGACCUCAGUCUCGUCCGGCUCCAGACCGUCUUCAGAGGAAACAACUUCUCUCUCAAGUUUAAAAGACUUUUCCUCCUUCAGCAACAAGCUCAGUUUUAGCAUCCAAUCAUCAACAACAUGUCUGAGAUAGCACCAAUCACCGUUGUGGGUGGAGAUGGAGGAACCCCAUUUAUUUACUGGCCUGGACAAACUGGAUCAGUGCUGAAAAAGCUGGAGGUUUGGGUCGGAGAGCAUCAAGUGGGUUGUAUAAAGAUCACCAUGAGUGACGGGUCUGGGAAGACAUUUGGCCAAACCCAUAAU